UACGUAGGGGGCUAGCGUUGUUCGGAAUUACUGGGCGUAAAGCGCGUGUAGGCGGCCAACUAAGUCGGGCGUGAAAUCCCACGGCUCAACCGUGGAAGUGCACUCGAAACUGGAUGGCUAGAGUCCUGGAGAGGAAGGUGGAAUGCUUGGUGUAGAGGUGAAAUUCGUAGAUAUCAAGCGGAACACCGGUGGCGAAGGCGGCCUUCUGGACAGUGACUGACGCUGAGACGGCG
rnacentral:rRNA from 1 species